AGAGAGAGACAUGCGCGCAUAUCAAUAAGCGGAGGAAAAGAAACUAACUAGGAUUCCCCUAGUAACGGCGAGUGAAGCGGGAAGAGCUCAAAUUUGAAAUCUUAAAGGGUUUCCCUUUACGAAUUGUAGUUUAAAGAAGUGUUUUCUGUUGAGGUUUUGGUAAAAGUUCUUUGGAAUAGGACAUCAUAGAGGGUGAGAAUCCCGUAUUUGACCAUUACUUUCCAACUUUGUGAUACACUUUCAAAGAGUCGGAUUGUUUGGGAAUGCAGUCCAAAAUGGGUGGUAAAUUUCAUCUAAAGCUAAAUACUGGCGAGAGACCGAUAGCGAACAAGUACCGUGAGGGAAAGAUGAAAAGAACUUUGAAAAGAGAGUUAAACAGUACGUGAAAUUGUCAAAAGGGAAGCGUUUGACACCAGUGUUGUUUUUCUGAAAAUCAAUUAAAGAACUGUUUAUGCUAAGUUGUUUAGACUUUAUCAGCUAUCUGUUUAGUUUUGAGCUUUUCUUUAAUGCACUUUUCAGUUAACAAGUCAACAUCAAUUUCUUUUGCUGUAAAAAAGCUUGAGGAAGGUGGCUUGAGAUUCGUCUUAAGUGUUUAUAGCCUCUUGCCUAUGCAGUCGGAGAGAUUGAGGUCUGCAGCGUAGAUCCUUCGGGGCUAAAUGCAUUUGUGCUAAGUUAUAGCAUUUUAUAGACAACUUGUUGACUAUGAUUUGUCUUGUAGCUUACUCGCUUAUGUUAUUUUACCUACGCUUAGGAUGUUGAUGUGAUACUGCGAGC
rnacentral:rRNA from 1 species